rnacentral:rRNA from 1 species
AGUGAACGCUGGCGGUAUGCUUAACACAUGCAAGUCGAACGGCCUCUUAGUAGGUACUGGCUGACACGUGAGUAACGUGUGAGAAGGUGGCGUUGGAUUCGGGAAUAUCCCUGUAAAUGGGGGCUAAUGCCGGGUGACGCAAGAGGUAAAAGCAUAAGAGCCUCAAGAUAAAGCCGCGUCUGUUUAGCUAUUUGGUGAGGUAAAGGGUCACCAAGGCAUCGAUCAGUAGCUGGGCUGAGAGCAUUACCAGGCACACUGCAGCGGAGACACGGUCCAGACUCCUACGGGAGGCAGCCGUGGGGAAUACUGGAGAAUGGGCUCAAGCCUGAUCCAGCCAUACCGCGUGGGUGAAGAAGGCCUACGGGUUGUAAAACCAUUUUGUUUGGAAAGUAAAGCAGCAUUUUAAUACCCCGACGUUCUGACGGUACCCAAAGAAUAAGCACCGGCUAACUCCAUG